rnacentral:rRNA from 1 species
AGCAGCCGCGGUAAUUCCAGCUCCAAUAGCGUAUAUUAAAGUUGUUGCAGUUAAAAAGCUCGUAGUUGAAUUUCGGGAUCAAUAUGUCGGUCGUGCCUUCGGUACGUACUGGUAUCAUUGGUCUCUCCUUUCUGACGAACCAUGAUGUCAUUAAUUUGGUGUUAUGGGGAGUUAGGACUGUUACUUUGAAAAAUUAGAGUGUUUAAAGCAGGCUUUAGCUUGAAUACAUUAGCAUGGAAUAAUGAAAUAGGACGUUCGAACCUAUUUUGUUGGUUUCUAGGAUCAACGUAAUGAUUAAUAGGGAUAGUUGGGGGCAUUAGUAUUCAAUUGCCAGAGGUGAAAUUCUUGGAUUUAUUGAAGACUAACUACUGCGAAAGCAUUUGCCAAGGAUGUUUUCAUUAAUCAAGAACGAAAGUUAGGGGAUCGAAGACGAUCAGAUACCGUCGUAGU